UCGCAUCUGUGCAUGCAGCAUAUCAAUAAGCGGAGGAAAAGAAACUAACAAGGAUUCCCCUAGUAACGGCGAGUGAAGCGGGAAGAGCUCAAAUUUGAAAUCUUAAAGGGUUUCCCUUUACGAAUUGUAGUUUAAAGAAGUGUUUUCUGUUGAGGUUCUGGUAAAAGUUCUUUGGAAUUAGGACAUCAUAGAGGGUGAGAAUCCCGUAUUUGACCUUUACUUUCAACUUUGUGAUACACUUUCAAAGAGUCGGAUUGUUUGGGAAUGUAGUCCAAAAUGGGUGGUAAAUUUCAUCUAAAGCUAAAUAUUGGCGAGAGACCGAUAGCGAACAAGUACCGUGAGGGAAAGAUGAAAAGAACUUUGAAAAGAGAGUUAAACAGUACGUGAAAUUGUCAAAAGGGAAGCGUUUGACACCAGUGUUGUUUUUCUGAAAAUCAAUUAAAGAACUGUUUAUGCUAAGUUGUUUAGACUUUAUCAGCUAACUGUUUAGUUUUGAACUUUUCUUUAAUGCACUUUUCAGUUAACAAGUCAACAUCAAUUUCUUUUGCUGUAAAAAAGCUUGAGGAAGGUGGCUUGAGAUUCGUCUUAAGUGUUUAUAGCCUCUUGUCUAUGCAGUCGGAGAGAUUGAGGUCUGCAGCGUAGAUCCUUCGGGGCUAAAUGCAUUUGUGCUAGGUUAUAGCAUUUUAUAGACAACUUGUUGACUAUGAUUUGUCUUGUAGCUUACUCGCCUAUGUUAUUUUACCUACGCUUAGGAUGUUGAACGCGCACAGAGUCUC
rnacentral:rRNA from 1 species